rnacentral:rRNA from 1 species
GAUGAACGCUGGCGGCGUGCCUAAUACAUGCAAGUCGAGCGAACAGACGAGGAGCUUGCUCCUUUGACGUUAGCGGCGGACGGGUGAGUAACACGUGGGUAACCUACCUAUAAGACUGGGAUAACUUCGGGAGACCGGAGCUAAUACCGGAUAAUAUUUCGAACCGCAUGGUUCGAUAGUGAAAGAUGGCUUUGCUAUCACUUAUAGAUGGACCUGCGCCGUAUUAGCUAGUUGGUAAGGUAACGGCUUACCAAGGCAACGAUACGUAGCCGACCUGAGAGGGUGAUCGGCCACACUGGAACUGAGACACGGUCCAGACUCCUACGGGAGGCAGCAGUAGGGAAUCUUCCGCAAUGGGCGAAAGCCUGACGGAGCAACGCCGCGUGAGUGAUGAAGGUCUUCGGAUCGUAAAACUCUGUUAUUAGGGAAGAACAAACGUGUAAGUAACUGUGCACGUCUUGACGGUACCUAAUCAGAAAGCCACGGCUAACUACGUG